CACGAUAUCAUGGAGGCGACAUUUACAUAAAAUUUGGUUUUCUGUUUGGUAUUCCCCUUCUUACAAUAUUCUAAACAUAUAUAUUACGUUUUUGUUGCAGUGUCAAGACGAGGUGUGCAAAGAAGUGUGUGAAAAGCGAACUUUACACUUUAAGAAGUGCAAUAAAGUGUAUCCACAACGUUUGUGUGAUAAGAUUUGGCCAGAUGACAUGGUUAAUUGACGCCAGAUAGGCAUCAACUAGACAACUGUUCUUCCAUAAUGUUUUCAAAUUCUGUCUCUGUCUGUAGAUCAUUCAUCAGCUAAUGAAUUUACACCUAAUAUUUUUCUCACACCUUCUAGUAAUGUGGACGGAAUAAAGAAUAUAUCAAAGUAUGUUUUGUGAAUAGGAAACAACAGAAUGAGUGCUGCGCAGUUAAACAUCAGUGGAUAUACGCGAUACACAUUUA